rnacentral:lncRNA from 1 species
AACGGCCGAACCUAAGAAAAAAUACACCACAAAUUACCUUACGAUCGAGUUUUGAACCCCCGUAUCCCCUAAUUACAGGUAUAUCCUAUAUAUCCUAAGAAAGGUAAUAGAAGGGGGAACAAAACCUAUAUAGUGAAUAUGUGGCACAGAUGCGAUUUAAGGGGUAACAAGUGACCGAAAAGCGAAAACGGCCGAACCUAAGAAAAAAAUACACCACAAAUUACCUUACGAUCGAGUUUUGAACCCCCGUAUCCCCUAAUUACAGGUAUAUCCUAUAUAUCCUAAGAAAGGUAAUAGAAGGGGGAACAAAACCUAUAUAGUGAAUAUGUGGCACAGAUGCGAUUUAAGGGGUAACAAGUGACCGAAAAGCGAAAACGGCCGAACCUAAGAAAAAAUACACCACAAAUUACCUUACGAUCGAG